CGGUCGGCCCGCGAGACGAGCUGGAAGCGUGGCGGCGGCGGGCGCAGCGCGGUGACACUGCACGGUCUGGUCGAUCCACGGAGCAGAUAGGCCGACAGCGGGGCGGCUCCCACGCGACCGGACCGACCGGCGCGGACCAGGGACCAGCCGAGACCAGAGGAGCCAGCAGAGACUUGAAGACACCAGAGGAGGCCCUUGGAUACGAGAGAGGACCAGAGACCAGCAGCAGGCAGCCAGAACAACAGAACAGCCAGAGGAGUCAAAGCUGUCAGAAAUUAUCCCGCACCGUUGCAAUCGCACCUCAAGAGGUUUCCCGAGCGGUGUGAGCAGCGACUAGACCAGCGGGCGCCCAGCGCCCAGCGCCCUGCGACCAGCGACCAGCGGCAGACCUGCCGGACCAGUUGGCCGAGGCCGGCCAGCCGAGCCCGCGCCCCAGAACCUGUCUGUUGUGUGCGUGCGCGUGGUGGGACAAGGACUGGGCGGUGACGCGGUUCGUCUGAGUGACUGUGGUGACUGUGGUGACCGCAGUGAACCGGCGGUGACUGUAGUGACUGGCAGUGACAAGCGGAGACUAGUGGUGACUCGCAGUGAACAACGGUGAUCAGUAGUGGUCCGCAGCGACUCGCAGCGGCCCGCAUUGAUCUUCAGUGAACAGCGUCAACUAGGAGUGACCGGCAGUGAGCGCGUCGGUGACCUGCAGUGACCUGCAGUGCCCAGGCUGGCUGUGGGCGGCGCAGAGACCGGGCCGGACGCCGCCCGGCCCGGUCUCCUCCGGGAGACGGCGACGGAGAC